AUUGCUGACCAAUGAGAAAAAGGGCCUGGUCACCCAUUGAAAGAACCUAGUGGGGAAACCCCGACUCAAUUCCCGAUUCGGCGUGCACCCAAGAAUCACAAACAGAUGA
rnacentral:pre_miRNA from 7 species